rnacentral:rRNA from 1 species
UUUAAUGAGAGUUUGAUCCUGGCUCAGGACGAACGCUGGCGGCGUGCCUAAUACAUGCAAGUAGAACGCUGAGGUUUGGUGUUUACACUAGACUGAUGAGUUGCGAACGGGUGAGUAACGCGUAGGUAACCUGCCUCAUAGCGGGGGAUAACUAUUGGAAACGAUAGCUAAUACCGCAUAAGAGUAAUUAACACAUGUUAGUUAUUUAAAAGGAGCAAUUGCUUCACUGUGAGAUGGACCUGCGUUGUAUUAGCUAGUUGGUGAGGUAAAGGCUCACCAAGGCGACGAUACAUAGCCGACCUGAGAGGGUGAUCG